CUUCGAUUUUACCCCAAAAAAUCCAAAUUUUGGGGGUUUAAAGUCCGUUUUUUUCACCUUAAAAACGACAAUUUUGGGGUUUCCGGGUCCAUUUUCUGCCCCAAAAAUCCAAAUUUUGGGGUUUUUUGAGUCCCGUUUUUCACCCAAAAAAUGAAAUUUUUGGGCCAUUUUCGAGUCCGUUUUUUGGCAGAUUUUGGGGUCUCCGGCUCCCGUUUUUCACCCAAAAAAAAAUUGAAUUUUUGGGCCUUUUUUAAACCCAUUUUUUGCAGCUUUUGGGCCUUUUUUUGAGUCCGUUUUUCACCCAAAAAAUGAAAUUUUUGGGCCUUUUUGAGUCCAUUUUUUUCCCCAUUUUUUGCAGAUUUUGGGUCAUUUUUGAGUCCAUUUUUCACCCAAAAAAUUGAAAUUUUUGGGCCUUUCUCGAGUCCAUUUUUUGGCAAAUUUUGGGAUUUUUUUUCCUCCAUUUUUUGCAGAUUUUUGGCCUUUUUUUGAGUCCAUUUUUCACCCAAAAAACGACAUUUUUGGGCCUUUUUAAACUCCUUUUUUUCUCCAUUUCUUUUGCAGAUUUUGGGGUUUUUGAGUCCAUUUUUUGCCCCAUUUUGUGGCGAUUUUGGGGUUUUUUUCUCCAUUUUCCCCCCAUUUUUUGAAGAUUUUGGGUUUUUUUGAGUCCAUUUUUGACGAUUUUGGGGUUUCUGGUUCCGUUUUUUCCCCAAUUUUGGGGUUUUUGAGUCCAUUUUUCCCCAAUUUUGGGUUUUUUCCUCCGUUUUUUGCAGUUUUUGGGGUUUCUGAGUCCAUUUUCCCCCAAUUUUGGGGUUUUUUGGGUCCAUUUUUUGCAGUUUUUGGGGUUUCUGAGUCCAUUUUCCCCCAAUUUUGGGGUUUUUGGGUCCGUUUUUUGCAGUUUUUGGGGUUUCUGGUUCCGUUUUGGCCCCGAUUUUGGGGUUUUUUGGGGCAUUUCUGCCUUCGGGGGGUGCCCGGCGGUUCCGGAAGGUUCCGAGGCCGGGGGGGGUUCCGGAAGGUUCCGCUGGGUGCCC
rnacentral:lncRNA from 1 species